rnacentral:rRNA from 1 species
AUUGAACGCUGGCGGCAGGCCUAACACAUGCAAGUCGAACGGUAACAGGAAGCAGCUUGCUGCUUUGCUGACGAGUGGCGGACGGGUGAGUAAUGUCUGGGAAACUGCCUGAUGGAGGGGGAUAACUACUGGAAACGGUAGCUAAUACCGCAUAACGUCGCAAGACCAAAGAGGGGGACCUUCGGGCCUCUUGCCAUCGGAUGUGCCCAGAUGGGAUUAGCUAGUAGGUGGGGUAACGGCUCACCUAGGCGACGAUCCCUAGCAGGUCUGAGAGGAUGACCAGCCACACUGGAACUGAGACACGGUCCAGACUCCUACGGGAGGCAGCAGUGGGGAAUAUUGCACAAAGGGCGCAAGCCUGAUGCAGCCAUGCCGCGUGUAUGAAGAAGGCCUUCGGGUUGUAAAGUACUUUCAGCGGGGAGGAAGGGAGUAAAGUUAAUACCUUUGCUCAUUGACGUUACCCGCAGAAGAAGCACCGGCUAACUCCGUG